GAUCCUGGCUCAGGACGAACGCUGGCGGCGUGCCUAACACAUGCAAGUCGAGCGGAGACAGUGAGUAGCUUGUUAUGAGCUGUUUUGGCGGCGGACGGGUGAGUAACGCGUGAGCAACCUUUCCCAGACAGGGGAAUAACACACCGAAAGGUGUACUAAUACCGCAUAAGACCACGGGAUCACAUGGUUCUGGGGUAAAAGAUUUAUCGGUUUGGGGUGGGCUCGCGUCCGAUUAGGUAGUUGGUGAGGUAACGGCCC
rnacentral:rRNA from 1 species